UAGUCUACGCCGUAAACGAUGGAUACUAGUUGUUCGGUUUUCGGACUGAGUGACUAAGCGAAAGUGAUAAGUAUCCCACCUGGGGAGUACGUUCGCAAGAAUGAAACUCAAAGGAAUUGACGGGGGCCCGCACAAGCGGUGGAGCAUGUGGUUUAAUUCGAUGAUACGCGAGGAACCUUACCAGGGCUUAAAUGUAGAUUGACAGGUUUAGAGAUAGACUUUUCUUCGGACAAUUUACAAGGUGCUGCAUGGUUGUCGUCAGCUCGUGCCGUGAGGUGUCAGGUUAAGUCCUAUAACGAGCGCAACCCCUGUUGUUAGUUGCCAGCAUGUAAAGAUGGGAACUCUAACAAGACUGCCGGUGCAAACCGCGAGGAAGGUGGGGAUGACGUCAAAUCAUCACGGCCCUUACGUCCUGGGCCACACACGUGCUACAAUGGUAGGUACAGAGAGCAGCCACGUCGCGAGGCGGAGCGAAUCUAUAAAACCUAUCUCAGUUCGGAUCGGAGUCUGC
rnacentral:rRNA from 1 species